UGUAAGCAAGCAAGAUGGCGACAACCUGAGUGGCAGCAGUACUAUCCGAAGAGUCCGAACAUUUAAAUUGAUGCAGGUUGGCUCCAAUUUGACUUUUGUUACAUUGAAGACGAACAUAUGAGAAGCAAGUAAAACCUGUGACAGAGCAAAGAUUUACCUGGAUUAAGGCAGCUGGAACCACAGUGGCAUGGAGGACACUUGAAGCCAAGAGAACUCUUUUUGGAAGGCCCCGUCUGCCUGCAGAAGCCUGGCUGACAGUGCUGCAGGAAACUGGCAGUGGAAGCGUAUUUGGAUCCAGUCCAGGCUUACACACUUAUGUGUCCCCAGGCAGACUAUGCCAUGCAGCAUGGAUCCUUGACAGAAAUGUUGUGCUGCGUGGCGUGGCCUUGAACCAGGGCAGCUUGCCUCUACUUAAAUGGUGUUAAAUUAAUAUCAAAGUGAGGAGAGAAUAUAUUUUUUGUCAGUGGACACAUUUUUACCUCUGUGUACAGCUUUUGAUUAAUAAGAACCCUAAUGUUUACAAGCCCGGACUGACCCCCACCCCAGCCUGAUUUGCCCUGCUCCCACUUUCAGUAUUUUAGAAUUUUUUCAUUACAUCUGGUGGACUCAUUUUCGAGCCAAGAACGGUGGAUUACGCUCCAACCCCAGGCUAGUUUUCACAGGGAGGCUCAAUCCGUGGCUCAGUCAUGAGUACGGGGGCGAUACAUCACCUUAACUACCUGAAUGAGAACGAAUUGAUGGAGAUGGACACCUUCAUUCACCGCAUCGACUCCACCGAGGUGAUUUAUCAGCCGCGGAGGAAGAGGGCCAAGUUGAUAGGAAAGUACCUGAUGGGCGAUCUGCUGGGGGAGGGAUCAUAUGGCAAAGUGAAAGAGAUGCUGGACUCUGAAACCCUCUGUCGCCGGGCUGUCAAGAUACUGAAAAAAAAAAAGCUGAGGAGGAUUCCCAAUGGAGAAGCCAAUGUGAAAAAGGAGAUUCAGCUGCUAAGAAGACUCCAGCACAAGAAUGUGAUUCAGUUGGUAGAUGUUCUGUACAACGAAGAGAAGCAGAAAAUGUAUAUGGUGAUGGAGUAUUGUGUGUGCGGGAUGCAACAAAUGCUGGAUAGCGUCCCGGAAAAAAGGUUUCCUAUAUUUCAAGCUCACGGGUACUUUUGCCAACUAUUGGAUGGCCUUGAAUAUUUGCACAGCCAGGGAAUAGUUCACAAAGACAUUAAACCAGGCAAUCUGCUGUUGACCACAGACGGGGCACUUAAAAUCUCUGACCUGGGAGUAGCAGAGGCACUGCACCCAUUUGCAGAGGACGAUACGUGUCGCACUAGCCAGGGCUCUCCGGCCUUUCAGCCGCCUGAGAUUGCCAAUGGUCUGGACACCUUUUCAGGGUUUAAAGUGGACAUUUGGUCUGCGGGAGUAACACUAUACAACAUUACUACAAGUCUUUAUCCGUUCGAGGGGGACAAUAUCUAUAAGCUAUUUGAGAACAUUGGAAAAGGGGAGUUUACUAUUCCUGAAGAGUGUGGACCUCUCCUUUCAGACCUGCUGCGAGGGAUGCUCGAGUAUGACCCUGCAAAGAGGUUCUCCAUACAAAACAUAAGGCAACACAACUGGGUGCGUAAGAAACACCCUCCGACUGAGCUCCCUGUGCCCAUCCCUGCCAGUGCUGAAUGCAGGGACCCUUGGCGCAGCAUGACAGUGGUGCCAUACCUGGAGGACCUCCAUGGCUACACUGAAGACGACGACGACGAGCUUUAUGACGGCGAGGACGAGAUCAUAUACACUCAGGAUUUCACAGUGCCAGGUCAAGUGGCUGAAGAAGACCAAGAUCUGAGCCUCGCAGACUACAGCCCACCCAUGGCCAAGCCAGUCUGUGUGAACGGAACAGAGGGAGGGUCUUUUAACAGCAGGGCUAAAGCUGAACGUCGGCCCUCAUCCUCAUCCAACCCCUCACGCAAAGGGGUCUCCACAGUCAGCAAGAUCCGUAAGCUCUCUGCCUGCAAACAGCAAUGACGCCCCCUCCUUCUCCUGUCCAGUCUCUUGUCGGCAACAGCCCACCUGGUAUCUGCUGGAGCCACUUCUCCAGUGUGGGGGACACGGCCCCCAGUGCUCCUAUGACCACGGGCACGUAGCAUCCACACAUCCCGAUUUCUUCACCUUCGGCAGUCAGGCCACGACGCCUCUCACACCCCUAAGUUGUGCUGUCCCUGUCCUCCUCCUGUCUGCAGCGGGCACACUUGUGAGAGAAUCCUGCUGAGCCUCAUACCUCCAUGGACCACUGGCCUAUAGUCUUGUAAAAGUGUGCUCUUAAAGUGAUGGCAAAGGAAGACGGACACCGUGACAUGUUCUCUUUGCUCUGAGAUCGAGGCGCUCUUCCUUUCCUCCAAUGCUCUUCCUCCUUCAGCUCCCGUUCCCUCUCUCGUCUUCAUGCUGUCCUCCUGUCAGGGGGGUGGCAAAUGUUGCACUGGACUUCACAAACCCAUCAUUCAUUAUUUGCUUAUCACAUCUCUAGCACAUACUAAUGGAGGAAGGGAAUGUCUCCACUGAAGGGGGGAAAUGGAUUUGGUCUCGGAACAGAGAAGGACAACCGCGAUAGAAGGACAUUGUCCAGACAGACACUCUGUGGCAACAGCAUUGCGCCUCUCUUCACAAUGAAGUCAUUUUUUUACAAUGGUAUUACAAAAUUCUCUGUAAAAGUGGCUUUUGACAACCUUUUUUUGUUUGUUUUUACAGACCCUUAUAGCAGUUUAAAGGCACAGUGUGAUGUGUGGGGGGGGGGAGUAAUUAAAGAGAAAAAGCAAAAGUGAUGAAUAAUUCUAUUUUUAAAUCUGUGACAAGAUGACGCUCUACUACGACUACUACCAACAUAAAACCUGCAUGCUGUACAAAGCUGGAAGAGAUGACAGACAGACUGUCUUUGAGGUCAACCACAACCUUGUUGGGGACUUUUGAUUUCCCUUUAUUUCGUUUUGUUUUUCCAAUGAAUAUUUUUUAAUUAUUAUUUAUAUAAAAAUGUCCCAAAGGUCUCUUUUUGUCUGUUUAUUUUUUUUCUGUUUGAGUUGGGUAUAUAUUUUUUAUA